AGCGAACGCUGGCGGCAGGCCUAACACAUGCAAGUCGAACGAAGUCUUCGGACUUAGUGGCGGACGGGUGAGUAACACGUGGGAACGUGCCCUUUGGUACGGAAUAACUCAGGGAAACUUGAGCUAAUACCGUAUGUGCCCUUCGGGGGAAAGAUUUAUCGCCAUUGGAGCGGCCCGCGUCUGAUUAGCUAGUUGGUGAGGUAAAGGCUCACCAAGGCUACGAUCAGUAGCUGGUCUGAGAGGAUGAUCAGCCACAUUGGGACUGAGACACGGCCCAAACUCCUACGGGAGGCAGCAGUGGGGAAUCUUGCGCAAUGGGCGAAAGCCUGACGCAGCCAUGCCGCGUGAAUGAUGAAGGUCUUAGGAUUGUAAAAUUCUUUUACCGGGGACGAUAAUGACGGUACCCGGAGAAGAAGCCCCGGCUAACUUCGUGCCAGCCGCCGCAGUAA
rnacentral:rRNA from 1 species